ACAACAACAUUCGGACCGUCGGUCUAUCGAGCAAUAUCACCCGCUCGGUGGAAGAUCUUCUCUUUGUCGUUUAAG
rnacentral:pre_miRNA from 1 species